rnacentral:rRNA from 1 species
GUCCACGCCGUAACUAUGAGUGCUAGACGUCGGGAAGCUUGCUUUCGGUGUCGCAGCUAACGCAUUAAGCACUCCGCCUGGGAGUACGGCCGCAAGGUUAAACUCAAGGAAUUGACGGGCCCGCACAAGCGGUGGAGCAUGUGGUUUAAUUCGACGCAACGCGAAGAACCUUACCAGCCCUUGACAUACUAGGUUUCGACCCCGAGAGAUUGGGGUCUUCAGUUCGGCUGGGCCUAGUACAGGUGCUGCAUGGCUGUCGU